AACGAACGCUGGCGGCAUGCCUAACACAUGCCAGUCGAACGAGACCUUCGGGUCUAGUGGCGCACGGGUGCGUAACGCGUGGGAACCUGCCCUAGGUUCGGGAUAACUCCCCGGAAGGGGUGCUAAUACCGGAUAAUGUUUUCGGACCAAAGAUUUAUCGCCUUUGGAUGGGCCCGCGUUGGAUUAGCUAGUUGGUAGGGUAAAAGCCUACCAAGGCGACGAUCCAUAGCUGGUCUGAGAGGAUGAUCAACCACACUGGGACUGAGACACGGCCCAGACUCCUACGGGAGGCAGCAGUGGGGAAUAUUGGACAAUGGGCGAAAGCCUGAUCCAGCAAUGCCGCGUGAGUGAUGAAGGCCUUAGGGUUGUAAAGCUCUUUUACCCGGGAUGAUAAUGACAGUACCGGGAGAAUAAGCUCCGGCUAACUCCGUG
rnacentral:rRNA from 1 species